CAUUGGACACCAGCACAGUGCCAGACAGCAGCUAAGGUGCUCAACGGAGAACAUUACAAAAAGGUUUUUAGUGAGUUCCACGUCCAUUUGCUUCUGCCAAUAAUAUCCAAAGCGAUAAAGCCAAAAGCGAAUAUGAAGGCUUUCUUCCCACUCCAUUCUAAGAUGAGGUUCCACCGAGCUUGCUCUUCGCAAAAUCGAACUUUCUGAGCCUGCUCUUGAAAGCUGUAUUCUCAUUUUCAAGUAGUCAUCUCCAACAUAAUAUCAUUUUGAUAUGUGUUUUAUGUUUUAUUUUGCACUAAUGACCAGGGAAACAGAGGAACAUUUUCAAUUAGUUGUCAGUCCCCAUGGAUCCCCUUUACAUCCGCCAAAGCAGUUGCAUCCAAAUAUAUUGCAUUGGCCCCUCCCGCAAUACAAACCAAUUACUGGACUUCCGUCGUUGCAGAUGCGUUUUAAGGUAACUCCCGUAAUACCAUAGCAGCAUAUUGCCGUAGCGCCUUUAAGG